rnacentral:ncRNA from 1 species
AGUGAGUUUGACUCUUGCUUUAGUUUUCGUUAUUAAUUUAUAUAAUAUAUGCAAAUUUUGGUAUAAUUUAAUAUUAUAAUUUAAUAUUAUAAUUUCAAGUUUUAUGGGAAUAAAAAAUGAUAUAAGUUUAAGUGCAGUAUUAAAUUUUUGUUUAAUAAUUUAUUAGUGAAAACUAGAAUGAGUAAAAUUAUAAAAAUCUGGUUAAACCUUGUGCCAGCAGCCGCGGUUAUACUAGUAGGUUAGAUGAAAAUUAUUUAGAUUGGUAGUUAAUUAGAAACCUGUAAGUUGUUAAUAUAUAUUUUGUCAAAAGGUGAAAUUUGUAAGAUAUAAUAAGGGUAUAUAAAAAUAACUUAUUUUGUUUAAUAAUGAAGCUAUUAAGCUUUAGAUAUAAACCAGGAUUAGAUACCCUGUUAUACUAAAUUUAAAAUAUUAAAAUCUUGAGUAAUAAAAAUAAAUUAAUUUAAAAUUCAAAGAGUUUGGCGGUAUUUUAGUCCUGUUAGAGGAAUCUGUUUUAUAAACGAUAACCCACGUAAUAUCUUUCUUAUUUUGAUUUUUAGCUAGUAUACCAUCAUUAUUAGAUAAUUUUGUUUUGGAAGGAAUUAUUGUAAUUAAUUGUAUUAAAUAUAUUAGAUCAUGGUGCUGUUAAUAAAUAAGUAAAAAUGGAUUACAAUAAAUUUAAUUUAUGACGGAUCUGUUGAGUGAAAAUUUUACGGUGAAGGUGAAUUUAAUAGUAAUGUGGGUUUAAUAAGCUUGGAUGAGUUUGGCUCUAAAAUGUGUACAAAUUGCCCGUCGCUUUCAUUUUAAAAGUGAGAUAAGUCGUAACAUAGUAGAGGUACUGGAAAGUGUUUCUAGAAAUAA